GUGAUCGUGCUUAGUGUGCAGUUGCCGUCGUGAGUGGCCUUGCCUUCACUGUGUCGUCUAGGUCGCUCUGAUACGUAACGGGAUGGGGUUAUAUGCUAUAACAUGCUUCAUUCUCUUACGUGGAUAAUAUGUUAUUUUUAUUAAGUUAUGGAAUAUGAACUAUUUUGAUGGGGCCUACGUGCCAAACUGAUUUAUGAUUUUUGAAUUUAAUAUUCCGCUGCUAUGUUAAAGAUAUUGUGAAGGUUAAAUUAUUAUUUAACUGUUUUUGGAUUACGUUUCUAUGUGAUAUCCCGUUUAUGGUUUUUACUCUGAUAAAUGUUUAUGAAAUUUGUAUAUUGGGAAAACGGGGUGUUACAAUUGGUAUCAGAGCAGGUCGAUCCGUCCGGUCAAUUAGAGAGUCGUGUCGAGUCUUAGUAAUAUUUAUAUUACUAUCUUAUGUUGUUGUUGCUACUUUUGUAGAAUAUCAGAAAUGGCUGGAAGGAACGAUGCUGCGUUAGCUGCUGCUCUACAAGCUGUUGCCCAAGCUGUGGGACAACAACCUAACGCAAAUGCUGGUGCAAAUGCUGAAGCUAGGAUGUUGGAGACGUUCAUGAAGAAGAACCCUCCGACUUUCAAAGGACGUUAUGACCCUGAUGGAGCCCAGACGUGGCUUAAGGAGAUGGAGAGGAUUUUCCGAGUUAUGCAGUGCACUGAAGAUCAGAAGGUGCGGUUUGGUACUCAUCAGCUAGCCGAAGAAGCUGACGACUGGUGGGUUGCUCUUCUGCCUACCCUUGGGCAGGAGGGAGCUGUUGUGACUUGGGCUGUUUUCAGGAGAGAGUUCCUGAGAAGAUACUUUCCGGAAGAUGUUCGCGGGAAGAAAGAGAUCGAAUUCCUUGAGCUGAAGCAAGGAAAUAUGUCCGUGACAGAGUAUGCUGCCAAGUUCGUGGAGCUGUCUAAGUUCUAUCCGCACUAUACUGCAGAGAAUGCUGAGUUCUCGAGAUGCAUCAAGUUCGAGAACGGUUUGAGGCCCGACAUUAAGAGGGCGAUUGGAUACCAACAGCUGAGAGUUUUUCAGGAUUUUGGUUAAUAGCUGCAGGAUCUACGAAGAGGAUACGAAGGCUCACUACAAGGUAGUGAAUGAGAGGAAGGGCAAGGGACAGCAGAGUCGUCCUAAGCCGUACAGUGCCCCCGCUGACAAGGGUAAACAGAAGAUGGUCGACGUUAGGCGGCCUAAGAAGAAGGAUGCUGCUGAGAUUGUGUGCUUCAAUUGUGGUGAGAAAGGCCACAAGAGCAACGCCUGUUCUGAGGAAAUCAAGAAGUGUGUCCGGUGUGGUAAGAAGGGUCAUGUCGUAGCUGAUUGUAAUCGUGCAGACAUUGUGUGCUUUAACUGCAAUGGAGAAGGUCACAUUAGUUCUCAGUGUACUCAGCCUAAGAGGGCGCCGACUACUGGUAGGGUCUUUGCUUUGACUGGGACUCAGACAGAGAAUGAGGAUCGUUUGAUCAGAGGUACUUGCUAUAUUAAUAAUACUCCUUUAGUUGCUAUUAUUGAUACUGGUGCUACGCAUUGUUUUAUUGCUUUCGAUUGUGUUUCUGCUUUGGGUCUUGUUUUGUCUGAUAUGAAUGGAGAGAUGGUUGUCGAAACUCCAGCUAAGGGUUCGGUGACUACUUCUCUCGUAUGUUUGAAAUGUCCUUUGUCUAUGUUUGGUCGUGAUUUUGAAAUGGAUUUAGUUUGUCUACCUUUGAGUGGUAUGGAUGUGAUUUUGGGUAUGAACUGGUUAGAGUACAACCACGUUCUUAUUAAUUGUUUUAGCAAGUCAGUACAUUUCUCUUCCGUCGAAGAGGAAAGUGGUGCAGAGUUUUUAUCUACUAAGCAGCUGAAGCAACUGGAACGCGAUGGUAUCUUGAUGUUUUCAUUGAUGGCUUCUUUAUCUAUUGAGAAUCAAGCAGUGAUUGAUAGGCUACCGGUGGUGUGCGAAUUUCCUGAAGUUUUUCCAGAUGAGAUUCCUGAUGUGCCUCCAGAGAGAGAAGUUGAGUUUUCUAUUGAUCUUGUUCCUGGAACGAAGCCGGUCUCGAUGGCACCUUAUCGUAUGUCUGCUUCCGAGUUAUCUGAGUUGAAGAAACAGUUGGAGGACUUGCUCGAAAAGAAGUUUGUUAGACCAAGUGUUUCACCUUGGGGAGCGCCGGUUUUGCUAGUAAAGAAGAAAGAUGGUAGUAUGCGGUUGUGUAUUGAUUAUCGACAGUUGAACAAGGUAACUAUCAAGAAUAGGUAUCCACUUCCGAGAAUUGAUGAUUUGAUGGAUCAGCUAGUGGGUGCACGAGUUUUCAGCAAGAUUGAUUUGAGGUCAGGUUAUCACCAGAUUAAAGUAAAGGAUGAAGAUAUGCAGAAGACGGCUUUCAGAACGCGUUAUGGUCACUAUGAAUAUAAAGUUAUGCCUUUUGGGAGUUACCAAUGCACCUGGAGUGUUUAUGGAGUAUAUGAAUCGCAUCUUCCAUGCAUUUUUGGAUCGGUUCGUAGUUGUGUUCAUCGACGAUAUUUUGAUUUACUCCAAGACUGAAGAAGAACAUGCAGAGCAUCUGAAGAUUGUCUUACAAGUGUUGAAAGAGAAGAAACUUUAUGCUAAAUUGUCUAAGUGUGAAUUCUGGUUGAAAGAAGUGAGUUUUCUAGGUCAUGUUAUUUCCGGAGAUGGUAUUGCUGUGGAUCCGUCUAAAGUCGAAGCUGUAUCGCAAUGGGAUACUCCUAAGUCCGUUACUGAGAUUAGAAGCUUUUUGGGUUUAGCCGGUUACUACAGAAGAUUUAUUGAAGGGUUUUCUAAGUUAGCUCUUCCGCUUACACAGUUGACUUGUAAAGGUAAGACUUUUGUGUGGGACGUUCAUUGUGAGAGAAGUUUCGGUGAAUUGAAGAAACGUUUGACGACUGCUCCAGUUUUGAUUUUGCCAAAGCCCGAAGAACCUUUUGUGGUGUAUUGUGAUGCGUCCAAGUUGGGUUUAGGAGGUGUACUUAUGCAAGAAGGUAAGGUGGUAGCUUACGCUUCAAGACAGUUGAGAGUUCAUGAGAAGAAUUAUCCUACGCAUGAUCUUGAGUUGGCGGCCGUAGUCUUUGUAUUGAAGAUAUGGAGACAUUACUUGUAUGGUUCGAGAUUUGAGGUGUUUAGUGAUCACAAGAGUUUGAAGUAUUUGUUCGAUCAGAAGGAAUUGAAUAUGAGACAGCGAAGAUGGCUCGAAUUGUUGAAGGAUUAUGACUUUGGUUUGAAUUAUCAUCCAGGUAAAGCUAAUGUUGUUGCAGAUGCCUUGAGUAGGAAGACAUUGCAUAUGUCCGCCAUGAUGGUCAGAGAGUUCGAAUUGCUUGAACAGUUCCGAGAUAUGAGUUUGGUUUGUGAAUGGUCACCUCAGAGCGUGAAACUGGGUAUGUUGAAGAUUGAUAGUGAAUUUCUGAAAAGUAAUCAAGGAAAGCACAGAAAGUUGAUGUAAAGUUUGUGGACUUGUUGGUUGCUAGAGAUCAGACGGAAGACAGUGAUUUUAAAAUCGAUAAUCAAGGUGUGUUGAGAUUCCGAGGAAGUAAUUUGUAUCCCAGACAAUGAAGAGAUUAAGAAGAUGAUUCUUGAAGAGAGUCAUAGAAGUAGCUUGAGUAUUCAUCCGGGAGCUACGAAGAUGUAUCAUGAUCUAAAGAAGAUUUUCUGGUGGUCUGGUUUGAAACGAGAUGUGGCACAGUUUGUGUAUUCCUGUUUAGUUUGUCAGAAGUCGAAAGUUGAGCAUCAGAAACCUGCUGGGAUGAUGGUACCUUUAGACGUGCCAGAAUGGAAAUGGGAUAGUAUAUCGAUGGAUUUUGUGACGAGUUUGCCUAAUACUCCUAGAGGGAACGACGCAAUUUGGGUUAUUGUUGAUAGAUUGACGAAGUCGGCUCAUUUUCUACCGAUUAAUAUUAGCUUCCCUGUUGCCCAGUUGGCAGAGAUUUAUAUCAAGGAGAUUGUGAAGUUGCAUGGUGUUCCUUCGAGCAUUGUGUCAGAUAGAGAUCCAAGAUUUACUUCUAGAUUUUGGAAAAGUUUGCAAGAGGCCUUGGGUUCGAAGUUGAGAUUGAGUUCGGCGUAUCAUCCACAGACAGAUGGUCAGUCGGAGAGGACAAUUCAGUCGCUAGAGGAUUUGUUGAGAAUUUGUGUUCUUGAGCAAGGAGGAACUUGGGAUAGUCAUCUUCCGUUGAUCGAGUUCACAUAUAAUAAUAGUUAUCAUUCUAGUAUUGGAAUGGCACCGUUCGAGGCUUUGUAUGGUCGGAGAUGCAGAACUCCGUUGUGUUGGUUUGAAUCAGGAGAAAGAGUGGUCUUAGGACCAGAAAUUGUUCAGCAAACUACUGAGAAAGUUCAGAUGAUCCAAGAGAAAAUGAAGGCGUCGCAGAGUCGACAAAAGAGUUAUCAUGAUAAGCGUAGAAAAGAUCUUGAGUUCCAAGAAGGAGACCACGUGUUUUUGAGAGUCACUCCUAUGACUGGUGUAGGACGUGCUUUGAAGUCAAAGAAGUUGACCCCGAAGUUCAUUGGUCCGUAUCAGAUAUUGGAAAGAGUUGGAACGGUGGCUUACCGAGUGGGUUUACCGCCGCAUCUUUCGAAUUUGCACAAUGUUUUCCAUGUGUCGCAACUUCGGAAGUAUGUUCCGGAUCCAUCUCAUGUAAUUCAGAAUGACGAUGUGCAAGUUAGAGACAACCUUACGGUAGAAACUUUACCGUUGAGGAUUGAUGAUCGUAAAGUGAAGACGUUGAGAGGCAAGGAGAUACCUCUCGUGAGAGUCGUUUGGUCGGGAGCGACUGGUGAAAGCUUGACGUGGGAGCUUGAGAGUAAGAUGCUGGAGUCGUAUCCAGAGUUGUUUACUUGAGGUAAAUUUUCGAGGACGAAAAUCUUUUAAGUGGGGGAGAGUUGUAACGCCCACUUUCGUUUAAUAGUUAUUUAAUCGAGUUUAGGCAAUUAUAUUAUAAUUAUAUAAUAUAUGCAUGAUUUUGAUAUGUUUUGAUGAUAUGAUUGAUGACGUGAUAAGUUAUGAGUUUUGGAGGAUUUGAUUAUGAUAUGAGAUUUAUGUUAUUGAUAAAUAGAAUAAAGAUUUGAAAAUAAUAUAAAAUAUUUAGUUGAGGGCUGUUUUGAUAUUGUAGAUAGUUUUGGGGGAGAAAUUGAGAUAAGAUAAGUAAUUAGGAAGAGAUAUAAAUAGAGAAGACCUAAUUGUUAGAAAAAAAACUGAUUGUACGUGAAAACUUUUGGAAAAGGGAGAAAAAGCUUAGAGAGGAGCAAGAGACCAAGAGGGCUGCGAUUUUCUUCAUAACCAGGUAAGGGUGGGACUAAUAACUCAGUAGCAUUAACCUCUGUAAUUCUGAUGAUUAGUUGACAAAGUUAGGAUUGAUUUAGAGGAGUUUUGGAAUUAGGUCAAAACCCUAAAAUUUGAGAAUAAACGGUAAAACUUGUUUAGAUUGAUGUAAGAAUUGUCCUGUAACCUUAGAAUAUGUUUAGGAUGAAUUCUGGAAUCAAAACCAAGCUUAGAACCAUGUGAAACGUCGGAUUUUUGUGAUUUUAGGAAGCCUGGCCGUAGCGACAUUCAUCGCUCGCCACGGCGAGCUAUGAUCCUCGCCUCGCGAGUGAUGAAGAUUCAUCGCUCGCCACGCGAGCCUUUCCCCUUCGCCUCGCCGAGUUGUCUGGUGCAACUCGCCAUGGCGAGUAACCUUUCCUCGCCUCGCGAGCUUAGGCAGAGAGCAUGUCAUAUUUCGUGUUUCGACCUUUUUAGUUGAACCUUGUAUGCCUUUGAGUGCCUAAACAUACCUAGAGACGAUUAGGAAUGAUUUUAGGACAGGAUUGAACCCAGAACAACAUCAGUUUGGGAGAUUAGUGUUACUCGCCAUGGCGAGUAAGUACUCUCGCCUCGCGAGUACAACCAGAAUGUAGUUGCUUGAGUGUUUGUGCGAUCUGUGUCGCAUGUGUUGAUCAAGAGUGAACCCCUAAUUGGUAUUGAGACCUAGUGAUGACGUUUAAUGCAGCCUGUAGAGUUGUUUAAGUUAUAUUGAUAUUCAUUGAGCAAGAACUAAUGUAUUGUAUAUUCAUGCAAGAUAUGAAGGUUUGAUAAUAAUGCAAUUUAUGUGCUAUUGAUAUAAAGAUAUCAUCUUGAUAUGAGAUUUGUUUAUGCUGCUUCCGUUAUUUAACUAAGUGCAUAUGUAUAUGAUAAGGUUUAGCUCCAAAUUAUUGGAUGCAUGUUGAUUACGAUGAUUACGUGUUUUGUUCAUAAGUGUCCAUGCAUAGCAUAUCAUUGAGCUUAGUCCUCACCACGAAAAUUAAGGAGCUUUGUCCUCCGCACGUUUUAUAGGAGCUUUGUCCUCCGCACGAUUAAAGUAUAUUAAUACUUAUGAUGACGAUUGGUACCACAUGCAUAUAAGAAGUCUAAGAGCAUUGUCACAUUGUCAUGAUUAAGAUGCCUUGUUGAUGAUGAUUGAUUAUGUGAUUACGUGAUAUGUGUUUAUUGAUUAUGUUAUGCUAUUCCUAAUGAUUGGAUAUAUGAUUACGUGAUAACUGUUUAGCAAUUAUGCAAAGUUAGAAAUAGAAUGAAUAUGAUGUUAAUUUAUGAUUCUCAAUUACAUUGAUUAAUGUUAUUGUAUUAUGAAAUCUCACCCCUUCUGCUUGAAAAUGUUGCCCUUCGUAUGGGUAACUUGCAGGUGAUCGUGCUUAGUGUGCAGUUGCCGUCGUGAGUGGCCUUGCCUUCACUGUGUCGUCUAGGUCGCUCUGAUACGUAACGGGAUGGGGUUAUAUGCUAUAACAUGCUUCAUUCUCUUACGUGGAUAAUAUGUUAUUUUUAUUAAGUUAUGGAAUAUGAACUAUUUUGAUGGGGCCUACGUGCCAAACUGAUUUAUGAUUUUUGAAUUUAAUAUUCCGC
rnacentral:lncRNA from 1 species